rnacentral:rRNA from 1 species
GAGUUAUCUGACCUUCGGGGAACGAUAACGGCGUCGAGCGGCGGACGGGUGAGUAAUGCCUAGGAAAUUGCCUUGAUGUGGGGGAUAACCAUUGGAAACGAUGGCUAAUACCGCAUAANGCCUACGGGCCAAAGAGGGGGACCUUCGGGCCUCUCGCGUCAAGAUAUGCCUAGGUGGGAUUAGCUAGUUGGUGAGGUAAUGGCUCACCAAGGCGACGAUCCCUAGCUGGUCUGAGAGGAUGAUCAGCCACACUGGAACUGAGACACGGUCCAGACUCCUACGGGAGGCAGCAGUGGGGAAUAUUGCACAAUGGGCGCAAGCCUGAUGCAGCCAUGCCGCGUGUAUGAAGAAGGCCUUCGGGUUGUAAAGUACUUUCAGCAGUGAGGAAGGGGGUGUCGUUAAUAGCGGCAUCUCUUGACGUUAGCUGCAGAAGAAGCACCGGCUAACUCCGUGCCAGCAGCCGCGGUAAUACGGAGGGUGCGAGCGUUAAUCGGAAUUACUGGGCGUAAAGCGCAUGCAGGUGGNUUGUUAAGUCAGAUGUGAAAGCCCGGGGCUCAACCUCGGAACUGCAUUUGAAACUGGCAAACUAGAGUACUGUAGAGGGGGGUAGAAUUUCAGGUGNAGCGGNGAAAUGCGUAGAGAUCUGAAGGAAUACCAGUGGCGANGGNNGCCCCCUGGNCAGAUACUGACACUCANAUGCGAAAGCGUGGGGGAGCAAACAG